rfam:Physcomitrella patens subsp. patens PHYPAscaffold_191 genomic scaffold, whole genome shotgun sequence.
UUAGAGGCUUUUAUAAAAGCCAUAUUUAGAUAUCUUGAAUUAUGAU